rfam:Oryza meridionalis cultivar OR44 (W2112) chromosome 1, whole genome shotgun sequence.
UGGGUUUGUUCUAAGUAAAACUUCUUCAAGUUUAACCAAGCUUAUAGAAAAAUUCAGCAACAUUUUCAGCACAAAACAAAUAUACUUAAAAGUAUAUUCGAUGGUGGAUUUAAUGAAAUUAGUUUGGUGUUGUAGAUGUUAUGCUUUUCUAUAAACUUGGUCAAACUUGAAGAAAUUUGACUUAGGACAAACUCAA